rnacentral:lncRNA from 1 species
CUGCCACAUGAUUUCUAGUACUUUGAUGGAAAAUGAAGAAUCUUAGCAGUUUGUAGAGGAAAAGGAGAGUGAGAGGUGUCCCUUUAGUCAGGACCUUGAACUUGUGGUGAGAAAUGAUGUGUAAUGCAGGGGAAAAUCAACACUACAACAGAUAUAGGCCACUUUGAGGCUGCAGGGAGGAGAGAUAUCUUAUGUAAGCCAUCUGAUACACCUGGAGCAGAAAGUACUUCUGGGUACAAAACAUCUCCUUAUCCAGAUUAGUCAAAAUUAGGAGAGAUUAGACCAACAAAAUAGGUAGAUUAGAUUGUGCCCUGUGGUGUUAAAUGGUUUUUAGCCUCCCAGCUGUAGCACGGGCAGAGCCUUAUCUCAUCAAACUACGCUCAGAAUGAAGCUUCGGGGCCUUUUCCAGCUACAAUCAUUUGUACUGGUUCACCUUAUUUGAGAGAAAGUUCCUGAGGACAUCAAUGGACAUCUCUGGGCAGAAGGGGUUGCAAGGAACAUCUGCAGUUAAGACUGGGUGUGCCAAGCAGGCCCUGCCAGCCUGUAGCAGCAGAUGGGCAGCCAAGGAACUCAUUCAGAGCUCUCAAGGACCACUCAAUUAUCACUAACUAACAAGCCUAAAGGUUAGCUCCUUGACAGCCCUCCAUAUGCCAAACUCCUCCCUGGUGACCCAGCGUGGAAAGACAGGGGAUGGUGUUCUCACUCCACAUUUGAACCAGUAAUGUGGAUUUAUUGAUUUAGCUGUUAAUAUCAGCCCAAGUCCUUCACAUACCCACUUCAGGGCUAUUUACUUGUCCUGCCAGCUCCACCUCAAUAAGACAUACUAUUGUCCGAGCUGAUGCUGCAGAAACCAUGCUUCAGAGAGUACUCCUGCAAAGUCCAGUCUUCUGUUCUGGCAGUGUGGAAGAUAAAACCAUCUGCUGGGUGUUUGACGGUGCUGUGUGUCAUCUCAGUCUAGGUGUGAUGGUGAUCAAUCUUUAUUAAAAAAAAAAACAAAACACCCAUCUUUAUUCACACCAACUAGCCGAAGGCAAUUGCAAUCUGCAAUCUUAAGUGUGAACGUGGGUCUAAAGAGUGGGUGGGACCCCAGUUACCUUUGUGAGGUAAA